UCAGAGUACUGGAUUUGUCUGAAUUGA
rnacentral:sRNA from 1 species